UGCGUCCAACAUUCGAUAGCGGCCCCCAAGCGAACGGGUUUAAAGACGGUGAACUUUAUUAGCUGCGGCGUUACACUGGCAUAACGGCUGCAUGCACGGCUUCCGCCGUUAUUGAUCUGCCGCUUCUGGCCGCGUAAUGACCUGUUGCGUGAAAAAAAAAGUGCUGGCCAGCACGAAAAUUCAUCGCUGGAACCGAGCACAGUCUGCUUGAAGACUGCCCACGAAAGCGGAUUAACCUUGCAGCCCCUGGGCGUGUGCGCUGCCUCCAAGACGCUGCUCAUAUUUGGACUCAUCACUUUUGACUCUAUAGUCUCUCUGGACGUACAAGUCAACAGUGAACGUGUCACCACUGGAAGUAACAUCAAGGGCCAGAAUCCUCACAGGGAAGACGGACAAAAGAGAGAUUAUUUGUCUGCAAGCUGCCCACGCUAAGCCACAAGAAGCUCAACUGUCACCAUAAUGACAACAGGUCCUCUUGAUCUACGUGCCUCACCAUGAAAUGUUCGGAAGUUUACCAGAUAGAGAGGUGUGAGCCCUACUAGGAAAGCAGCAGUCUACAGUUCUGUAUCGU